rnacentral:rRNA from 1 species
GCUCGAUACGGGGCGGGAGGCGGGGUAAUAGGUAGGGGGCUAGCGUUGUCCGGAAUGAGUGGGCGUAGAGCGCGUGUAGGCGGUCCGGGACGGCCGCUGUGAAAGUCGGUGGCUCAACCCUCGGAUGCCGGUGGAUACUGUCGGGCUUGAGUACGGAAGAGGCGAGUGGAAUUCCUGGUGUAGCGGUGAAAUGCGCAGAUAUCAGGAGGAACACCGAUUGCGAAGGCAGCUCGCUGGGACGUUACUGACGCUGAGACGCGAAAGCGUGGGGAGCAAACAGGAUUAGAUACCCGUGUAGUC